CCCCAACAAGUACUGUCAAGUCUCUGCAUUAGUACUGUGAUCUUCGUGGAACUAUCAAAAGCAUAGUUAGGGUCAGUUUGGCAGGGCUUCGGCUCUGGCUCCUCUGGUGGAGUGGCUUCUCCGGCUCUAGCUCCUCCUUUUGGAAAAUCAUUUUGCAAAACGGCUCUUCUAUGUAGUUUAAAAUGGUUAGAUAAGAUGAAGUACCCAUAAUACCCUUUUCUUUU
rnacentral:lncRNA from 1 species